UAGCUAAUUGUGCACUUUUUAAUUACUUGUGCUAGAGUAAUUAGGUGGCUCUAUGGAUUGGAAUCUUUUGCAAUUAAGCAGGUAAUUGUGAGAGGCUCUCGAUUGUAUCACUUAUCCGAACUAAUGUUCGGUUCGAGCACAUGCUCGGACAAAUAAACCCCUCCAAGUCUCAUAAUUGCAGGAUCUUCUACAAUAUGGAUAGGAAGAUUGUUAGAAAUUCCUAAUUUCCUAUCCUUAUCUUAUUUAUACACAUGAGGGCCCCAAAUAGUUUUGUUCCGACUCUCAGUAGAAUGACAGGCUUCAUCAUCUACUACUAUUCAUUAUUGAGUGGGGGCGUCUUUUGAAUGCUGCAAGCCUGCAAACAGUAUAGUUCAACGUCUUGCAGUGUUUGCUGGCAACUGGCAAGUCUUAUAGUACUAUCCAUUUAGAGGUGCGGUGGUUGGGAUUGUGAUCCGCAAUAAUCAGGUCUUUAAAUUGUAGGGGCACCUUUUGUGAGAGAGCCCAUGUGAAACCUACCCAAAGAAAUUUGAAGUUGUCUUACCAACUGGGUCUACAUGAGCUCUCUCAUAAAAAGUGCCUACCUAAUUUUUGUAAAUCCUCAUCCCAAUGGUUGUUAACUUGAACGUGUGGAAAUAGUGAUUCAAGACUAUCAUGGGUGCAAGUCCCAGGAAGACUAAAUGUGCUCAACUGCAGGAGGGUGCUUAUAGAACAGUACAAAGGUGCAAAUGAUAACAACACAUCUGAGUAACACAACGAUGGUGACAAACUUGUCAGUUUAUCUACAAACAAGAUGGUUCAUGAAAUAUGGAAGAGCCUCAAAACAAUCCACAUGCUGCAGAGAGUGUGCCUAUAUGAAUUCAAGUACCAGUGCCCAGACGGGAUAGACCAACAGAAGGAUUAUACCAACCGUGUUUGAUAUGCCAUUGGCUUUUGUGAAGGAAUUUCUGAAACCACCAGAUGCCCGGAUGUGUUCUUGCAGCGAAUAACAUGCAAUGACAAGACAGAUUGUUACGCCAAUCCAGCCGUCCCUUACAGUGGCUGCAAGUAAGCUAGGAGCCACCACCAUUAAGAGAAUCAAAGCUCCGGGAAGUUCGAGCCAAUCUGCAGUUACAUUCAUAAUCAGUACAUGAAUAGAGAACAAUAUCAGACUGAAUAUUUGGUUGUAUGGCAAAAUUUGUAUAUUCCCUCUAAAUGAAGUUGGCAAAGUGGGCAA